GACGAACGCUGGCGGCGUGCUUAACACAUGCAAGUCGAGCGAGACUUUCUCUUCGGAGGGAUGCUCUAGCGGCGAACGGGUGAGUAACACGUGGGCAACCUGCCCCUAGCUCUGGGAUAAGCCCGAGAAAUCGGGUCUAAUACUGGAUAUUCACGACAUAGGGCAUCUUGUGUUGUGGAAAGGUUUUCUGGCUGGGGAUGGGCCCGCGGCCUAUCAGCUUGUUGGUGGGGNGAUGGCCUACCAAGGCGACGAUGCGUAGCUGGUCUGAGAGGACGAUCAGCCACACUGGGACUGAGACACGGCCCAGACUCCUACGGGAGGCAGCAGUGGGAAUCUUGCGCAAUGGGCGAAAGCCUGACGCAGCAACGCCGCGUGAGGGACGACGGCCCUCGGG
rnacentral:rRNA from 1 species